UACGUAGGGGGCAAGCGUUGUCCGGAAUUAUUGGGCGUAAAGGGUGCGUAGGCGGCCCUGCAAGUUGGAUGUGAAAUCCCCGUGCUUAACACGGGAAUUGCAUGCAAAACUGUGGGGCUUGAGUGUGGAAGAGGUAAGUGGAAUUCCCAGUGUAGCGGUGAAAUGCGUAGAUAUUGGGAGGAACACCAGUGGCGAAGGCGACUUACUGGGCCACAACUGACGCUGAUGCACGAAAGCGUGGGGAGCAAACAGG
rnacentral:rRNA from 1 species